GUUUAUAAUUAUAUAUCACACACAAUACGUGUGGAAAGCAAAAGGUUAUUGAUCCAACCAACUGGCCUAGUCUUCCUUGU